GACGAACGCUGGCGGCGUGCUUAACACAUGCAAGUCGAACGGAAAGGCCCUGCGUUUGUGGGGUGCUCGAGUGGCGAACGGGUGAGUAACACGUGAGUAACCUGCCCUUGACUUUGGGAUAACUUCAGGAAACUGGGGCUAAUACCGGAUAGGAGCUCCUGCUGCAUGGUGGGGGUUGGAAAGUUUCGGCGGUCGGGGAUGGACUCGCGGCUUAUCAGCUUGUUGGUGGGGUAGUGGCUUACCAAGGCUUUGACGGGUAGCCGGCCUGAGAGGGUGACCGGCCACAUUGGGACUGAGAUACGGCCCAGACUCCUACGGGAGGCAGCAGUGGGGAAUAUUGCACAAUGGGCGGAAGCCUGAUGCAGCAACGCCGCGUGCGGGAUGACGGCCUUCGGGUUGUAAACCGCUUUCGCCUGUGACGAAGCGUGAGUGACGGUAAUGGGUAAAGAAGCACCGGCUAACUACGUG
rnacentral:rRNA from 1 species